AAAAUGGUACCGUAACUUCGGGAGAAGGUACGCUCUCGACGGUGAAGUCCCUCGCGGAUGGAGCUAUUGAGAGUCGCAGAUACCAGGUGGCUGCAACUGUUUAUUAAAAACACAGCACUGUGCAAAAUCGUAAGAUGACGUAUACGGUGUGACGCCUGCCCGGUGUCGGGAGGAUGAUUGAUCUGG
rnacentral:rRNA from 1 species